GUAAAUUAUAUAAUUUUAACAUUGAAAUCAACACAAUUAAUCACUUUCUUAAAAAUCGUACACAAACUUUAAACAAUUAUUAUCUCGAGACGGAGGGAGCAUUUCUUUUAUUAAUUGAACUAUAUUAAAAUUGUGUUUUGGCCCCACUUUUCCUUAGAAGUAGAAGAUAAAUGAAAAUUAAGCAAGGACCAAACAUGCUCUAUAAAAUUAACUUUAAGUUUUCUAUGCAUAUUGCUAAAACAAACGAUCCUAAGAUUCCCUCAAAAAAUAGAACUCUAAGAUAAAAUCUUCACAAAAAAUGGCAAAACACAUUUCCCAAUAUUGUCUUUUGGGAAUUUUCUGCAUUGCGUUGGUUCUAGCUUCAGGACCAACACCAGGUUCGAGUUUAUGCAACAAUAAACAUUUUCUUUGUGAUAAUCCUGAUAAUUGCCUCGCAACAUGCCACGUUCUGCUCUUUAGAAUUGGAGAAUGCUUUGAUAAUUUGUGUUGCUGUUUUUUACAUAUAUUUUACUAAAGUUCUAUUUUUGCAAAAGAGGCUGCAACAAAGACCUACAACCAAAGAAAAAGGAACAUACACAAAGGAGGGGACUAAGCCAAGACCCUCAAAAAGCGACAAAUCUAAAGCUUGUCAUUCCAAGCUUGUUUUGAACAAAAAAAUCUAGAAAGGAAGGAUGGAACUGAUUCCCAAGUAAACAAUCCUUGCAAGGUUAAGCCAAAGUUUCCAAGAGAAUCAACACAUUGGUUUCCUUUUCUAAAGAUAUGAGAAACCAUAAAAUUCAUGCCAAUCAAAAGCCUCUUACAAUUAAACCAUUUGGUUCUUAGCUAUCAUGGAGAAUCAUUUGAAAAUGCCAUCACCAAUAGCAUUGAGUUUGAUUCCAACAAAAAAUUAAUCCAAUUUCUCUUAUAAGUUGUCUCUAUAACCCUCAUUGCUCCAAUGAGCUCAGCAUGGAAUGCAAAAAUCAAACCAAAGAUUUUCAGAGAUGCAAAGGAUAUAGUCUGCAUCACAGUAUCAGAAAAUUAUACCACUUGCAGAAGACAGUGAAGAGGAGGAUUCAUCUGUAUUUCCUUUUAUCCAAUUUCUAAUAGGAGGGUGCCAACUAACUUCUUUGAUCUGAGGGCCCUAGGAGAAUGAAUGUGUAAAUCAGCUUAUAACCAAUGAAGAGUUAUUGUAACAUUCUGAUUUUUAGGAUAUUAUUAUUUUAAUUGUUUUAUUAAUUAUUUAUUUGUUUGAUGUGUUUGAAUUGUUGGAUUGAUUGGCCUUUAUUAGAAAUAGAGAAAUUAACUGUAUUUAUUUUGGUAAUUUUGAGGUGAAGGGCAUGUUAGUAAUUUAAAAGUGGAGGAAUAUUUAAUGAGGUUAGUAGUAACUUUACACAUAGAGGCACAAGAGAGAGAAUAAAGCAAGAUAGAAAGAGAAGGAAGAUCUAAAGGGGAAAAAGAAGAGAAAGUUUGGAGGACUAAAGUGAAGGGGGUAGAUUGAAGCUUAGCAGGCUUAGCUUUUGGAUUGAGAGGUAAGAGGGAAGGUUAUUUUCACCAUCUAGAGCUUAUGAGCAAUUGUGUGAUUUUUGGGCAAUAUGUGUUCUUGCAUUUUUAUGAAAUUUUUGUUGAAUAAGUUGAAUUUUGUACUCCAUUAAUGGUGGUUAUAUUGAAUAUGUGAAAAGUGGUAUAAUCCUUGAUGAGUUGGUGUUUAAGUGUUUUUUAACUUAAUUGAGUGAAAAUCAUGAUUCGUUUA